CUCAAUUAGGAAGUAACAUGGAGAGUUCAGAAAUUUCUGAUGCUACUUCUAGCUUAAGAGAAUCAUCUAAGGAAGCCAACAGCUUCUCAAUAGCUGAAGAGGACUAGAUUUGGAGAAUGUAUAAGUUGGUUGGAGAUAGAUGGUCGAUAAUUGCUGGAAGAAUUCCGGGAAGAAAUGCCGAUGAAAUCCAGGAGUACUGUCAAAGUCAUUUUUCAAAGGGAAGCAUACUCCCUCCGUCCACCAAAAAUAAUAGCACCAUCUUUGCAUUUCGGGAUGUCCACAAAGAUAGUCCUGUCAAAAAAUGAAAAGUUUCUCUCAAAUUAUUAAUACUAUUCUAUCUA